AUUGAACGCUGGCGGCAGGCCUAACACAUGCAAGUCGAACGGUAACAGGAAGCAGCUUGCUGCUUUGCUGACGAGUGGCGGACGGGUGAGUAAUGUCUGGGAAACUGCCCGAUGGAGGGGGAUAACUACUGGAAACGGUAGCUAAUACCGCAUAAUGUCGCAAGACCAAAGAGGGGGACCUUCGGGCCUCUUGCCAUCGGAUGUGCCCAGAUGGGAUUAGCUUGUUGGUGAGGUAACGGCUCACCAAGGCGACGAUCCCUAGCUGGUCUGAGAGGAUGACCAGCCACACUGGAACUGAGACACGGUCCAGACUCCUACGGGAGGCAGCAGUGGGGAAUAUUGCACAAUGGGCGCAAGCCUGAUGCAGCCAUGCCGCGUGUAUGAAGAAGGCCUUCGGGUUGUAAAGUACUUUCAGCGGGGAGGAAGGGGUUAAGGUUAAUAACCUUAGCCAUUGACGUUACCCGCAGAAGAAGCACCGGCUAACUCCGUGCCAGCAGCCGCGGUAAUACGGAGGGUGCAAGCGUUAAUCGGAAUUACUGGGCGUAAAGCGCACGCAGGCGGUCUGUCAAGUCGGAUGUGAAAUCCCCGGGCUCAACCUGGGAACUGCAUUCGAAACUGGCAGGCUUGAGUCUCGUAGAGGGGGGUAGAAUUCCAGGUGUAGCGGUGAAAUGCGUAGAGAUCUGGAGGAAUACCGGUGGCGAAGGCGGCCCCCUGGACGAAGACUGACGCUCAGGUGCGAAAGCGUGGGGAGCAAACAGGAUUAGAUACCCUGGUAGUCCACGCCGUAAACGAUGUCUAUUUGGAGGUUGUGCCCUUGAGGCGUGGCUUCCGGAGCUAACGUGUUAAAUAGACCGCCUGGGGAGUACGGCCGCAAGGUUAAAACUCAAAUGAAUUGACGGGGGCCCGCACAAGCGGUGGAGCAUGUGGUUUAAUUCGAUGCAACGCGAAGAACCUUACCUGGUCUUGACAUCCACAGAACUUUCCAGAGAUGGAUUGGUGCCUUCGGGAACUGUGAGACAGGUGCUGCAUGGCUGUCGUCAGCUCGUGUUGUGAAAUGUUGGGUUAAGUCCCGCAACGAGCGCAACCCUUAUCCUUUGUUGCCAGCGGUCCGGCCGGGAACUCAAAGGAGACUGCCAGUGAUAAACUGGAGGAAGGUGGGGAUGACGUCAAGUCAUCAUGGCCCUUACGACCAGGGCUACACACGUGCUACAAUGGCAUAUACAAAGAGAAGCGACCUCGCGAGAGCAAGCGGACCUCAUAAAGUAUGUCGUAGUCCGGAUUGGAGUCUGCAACUCGACUCCAUGAAGUCGGAAUCGCUAGUAAUCGUGGAUCAGAAUGCCACGGUGAAUACGUUCCCGGGCCUUGUACACACCGCCCGUCACACCAUGGGAGUGGGUUGCAAAAGAAGUAGGUAGCUUAACCUUCGGGAGGGCGCUUACCACUUUGUGAUUCAUGACUGGGGUG
rnacentral:rRNA from 1 species